rnacentral:lncRNA from 1 species
UGGGUUCAAGCAUACUAUAGCACUUUGUCUAUGUGUUUGGGUGCCAAAUUGCAAUUGGGGAUUUUGCGAAAUUCUGCAUUUGGUCCCUGUGCAUAUCACCAUUUUCACUCUUUCUCUACCUCCCUCACCAUCGAUUUCUCUCUCCACUGCCAGCCCAUUUCCGGCCACCUUUCGCUGCCAGAUUUCUACCAAGUGUCGUUCUCGAUGUUGCCAACUACUCCUUGUCGUUGGUUUUGCCUGGAACCGUCGGAAAUUGGUGUUUCGAGAGGGAAGGAUUUUCUCCCUCCGUUGUUGUUGCUUGUCCAGCGCCGUCCCCGGCCACCGUUGCUCAAACCAAUACCGAACUUAGUUCCUCGCCAUUGAAAACCCCAAGAACGACCUCUCCCUGUCGUUUUCCCUUGCCAACAAUCAAUGUUGAGCCUCGCUAGAGCCGAAGCUUUUCGGCCUCGAUCUGGCAGCUUCGGGCGAGCUUUAAGCAAUAAGAAUACCAUUUUCGGACUCCUCACUUCGCAAGCUUCGCAUGGGUAUCAUCGAAUCCAAUUUGUGUCACCGUUGAAAAAUUCCGGCAAUCGAACUCCAGUGACUUCAGGACGCGUGUCAACAGGUAGAAUAUCUGUCUCAGCAUCUCGGUUUAUCGUGCGCUAGUUUUACGAGUUAAACUCAUCUUGAUAUAAUAUUUUUGGACCCAAGAACUUAAUUUAAUAAUUAGCAAUUAUUAUUUAGUUUUAUUAAUUAUUAGUUUAUUGUAAUUCAAUUUUUGUAAAUUAUCACUAGUUAGUUACAUGUGAUGGUCAUUUAAUUGUGAUUAAAUUAGUUUGAUUAUCAGAGCUAGAUUUGGAAACUUAUUUGUGGAUCAUUAUUAAUUAAGAAAUUAAUAAUUGUGAUUGUUGUGUUGUAUUGGUGAGUGGGGGAAUUAUUGUAGUUUGUGGAUCUAUUUAUUGGAAAAAGAUACAAAUAAAUCCCUAACAUUUGUGCCGUAAAGCAAAUAAGCUCCUAGUCAUUUUCUUGGCGCAAAUAAGCACGAGAAAAUAUUUUAACUGUAUUCUAUGUCGUCAAUUAAACCAAAAAGACAUUUAAAAUAAACGACCGUUGUAACUCAGCUGAUGUGGCAUAAUAUUUUAUGUGAA